UGGGGUGACUGGAUAGCCGCUCCAAGCGAGAGGAAAGUCCGGGCUUCUCAGGGCAGGAUGCUUCCUAACAGGAAGUCCCGCACCAAAGGUGCGGGAGGAAAGUGCCACAGAAAAUAUACCACCCCGCACCUGUUUAGGUAUGUUGAAUGAUGUAGUAUGUUUAUGUCAUAAAAAGUAUAAGAAAUAAGAAACUCUAUACUGGCUAUACGUGCGAUCUGAAAAGAAGAAUAAAGGAGCAUGAAUCGGAUAAUAAUACACAGCCUUGUUAUACCUAAACAGGUGCGGGGUAAGGGUGAAAAGGCGAGGUAAGAGCUCACCGCUCUGGUGGUGACAUCAGAGGUCUUGGUAAACCCCAUCCGAAGCAAAACCAAGCAGCCCCGUUUGAAACUGCCCGUUUCCCGUUCACACCCUUGGGGUGUGGGUGGGCGGGGUGGGUAGGUUGCGCAGAGCCUGGUAGCGAUAUCAGGACAAGAUAAAUGGCUAUCAUCUACAGAACCCGGCUUACAGGUCACCCCACUUU
rnacentral:RNase_P_RNA from 1 species